rnacentral:lncRNA from 1 species
UUUUUUUUUUUCGUUUAUGUAUGAAGAAAAAGGGAAUAAAAUAAAGAAAAGCUAUGUGUGUGCAAGCAUACAAACACAACUGCAACCACAGUUAAAAUAAUAGCCCAAAGGGACAUAACUUGUCAGGGCAGGGUCUGUGGUGUGUUUUUUGUUCUUUUUGUUUUCUCAUCUUUCUCCUUCUAGCAACUAACACACUUUAUGUAUUACAAUGAAUAUUUGUUUAAUGACUGAAUAAGGAAGAACUUUUGUCUUCUAUUACACUAUGCUUUGAAGUUCUAUUUAUCAGAGAUGAACAGUUGUACUUAAUACUUUGAUCCCCAAAUAAUAAAAUGAAUGGCUGUAUCUUAUCAAAAAGUUAUCACUAUCUUUUUAAACUUAAAUCUGCUUUUAUCAAAAAAUAAAUGAACAAUUGAAGGCAAGUUAUCCUGUGGGAAUGGGGAAAGGAAGAGGGAUAUGAGAAAGCCUUCUGGGUGCCACAGGUGUUCUACAUCCUGAUCUGAGAGGGGGUUACACGGAAACACAUUUUAAGUACAACUUGUCACAUUGUAGACCUAAGAUCUGUGCGUGCACUUGACUAUGUGUAAGUUAGACCUCCAGUAACAACACCAUGUAAACCAAAUAAAAUGUGUCUUUAGAUGGCAGAUAUGGGGGAAAAAAAUCUGCUUUUAUAAAAAAAAAAAUUUACUGCAGAAAUAAUUUGGCUUAGCUAAAAGAGGAAAAAAAAAAAAAAUUAGCUCAUCCUGAAAGAGGCAAUUUCCAAAAGAGCCGUCAACACAUAUCUCCAAUCUUCACUGAGGUAACAUGAGUUUAUUAUAUUCUUGCAAACUCACCUCCCUGGGCUUUACCCAUGUCUUUUUUUCACUAUCUGACAGGGCAGAAUUUCAGAGAGAGCAUUUUGCUCUAAUUGGACACAAAAGGACCAUGCCUGGCUGUUACGAUGUCUGGCCUUUUGCCUUUAUUUCUCAGCUUCAGUAUAUGUUGCUUAUGUUUUGUUAAGCAUGCAUCCCAAAGCAUUUGAGGUUCUCAGCACGAUCUGGAACCAGGGUCCUGAGAACUAACACCUGACUCCAAGUUCGUAUUAGAGAACUCAGCACCACUCCUGUGACCCAAAAGGCCUGGUGCCAAACCAUUUUUGGCAUCUUCCACUGCCAGGCAUAGAAUUUGUCUAGUAUCCCAAUGAGUCACAUAAGACCAGCAGCAAAGAAAGUUAUCAUUUUUUUAGUUUAUUUGUGUAGCAAUAAGAAAAAAAGAUUAAAUAAACAAAUAAGGAUUAUUUUUAUAAUGAAUGCAAUCUUCUUAGACUAAUAGCCAGAGAAGAGCUAUGAUUGUUAUAUGUCUAAAAAUCCCAAAUGGCAAAAUAUAAUUAAAGUUAGAACUGUUGAACAAAUAAACCUGUUAAACACAUAAUAUUACCAGGCAAAAUAGCUAUGUGUUUAUCACUUUGCCACUGUAAUUAUGUUCACUGCAACUCUUCAUGCAUAUAUUAAUACUUUGCUAACAUUACAGAGGCUAAAACAUAAAUUGCAGAGCACUGAAUAUAUUUUCAACCAGAAAGAGCAUAGUAAAAAUGCUUGUUAUUAAAAAAAAACAAAAAUAAAAAAAGACCUUUGGAUUUAAUGCUAUUACUAAUUACUUAUUAGUAAUAAGAGAAGUAACAGAGUCCUGUAACAACAUGUAUACUGGUCUCAAAUGAAUAAUCAGUAUGUACUUCUACAUGGGUGUCUGGUUAGAAAAUUCAAAAAAUUAUCUAACUCAGGUCUCUUUGAGCAUGAAGCAUGGAAAUUGUUCCAUUUAAUCUGAAAAAGGAAAUACCAGGAAAUGAACCUGAGUUACUAUGCCCAUGUAAAUUGAACACAAAUAUUUUUAAGUAAUUUUAGCUAAUUUCCAAAGAUUAUGGAUAAACCAUAAUUGGAUAGAUGUGGGUUAGAGUAGGUGUGUUAGUUAUUAGGAGCCAGGAAAGGUCAGGAAAUGAAUUCCCAUGAGGUGAAACUCUAUAUCCAAAAAUAAGCAAGAAGAGACUUUGAAAUGAUUUCUGAAGACUUAGCAAAAUCAUUGCCAAAGACUGCAUGGGAAAAGAGGGAAAAAAAAUGAUUACUUGUAAUGAACAGCAAAAGAAGGAGGGAAGAAAAAAGAGAAAGCAUCUUUAAGUACAAACACAUAAUGAACCCUUAUUGCCUGAGUUAAUAAAAAUACUAUUGAUACCAUCAAUAGGUUACAGAAACAGGGGUAUAAAAUUUGUAAUAAAAAUCACAAGCCUUUAAGAACAAUAGAGGCAAUAAUAAAAACCUUCUGGAGAGGUUGUGGAGAAAAAGGAAGAACCCGCCUCCCCUUCACUGUUGGUGAAAGUGUAAAUUGGUACAACCACUAUGGAAAACAGUAAUGGAGGGUCCUCAGAAAACUAAAUAUAGAACUGCCAGAUGAUCCAACAAUCCCACUCCUGGGCAUACAUCUGGACAAAACUAUAAUUCAAAAAGAUACAUGCACUCCUUUGUUCAAUAUGUACAUUAUUUACAAUAGCCAAGACAUGGAAACAACCUAAAUGUCCACUGACAGAUGAGUGGAUUAAGUUGUGGUGCAUAUACACUACUCAGCCAUAAAAAAGAAUGAAAUAAUGGCAUCUGCAGCAACAUGGAUGAAACGAGAGAUUCUCAUACUAAAUGAAGUCAGAAAGAGAAAGACAAAUGCCAUAUGAUGUCACUUACAUAUGGAAUAUAAAAUAUGGCAGAAAUGAACCUAUAUACAAAACAGAAACAGACUCACAGAUAUAGAGAAUAGACCUGUGGGUGCCAAAGGGAAGGAGGGAGUGGGACGAAUGGGGAGUUUGAGGUUGGUAGAUGCAAACAAUUACAAUAUGGAUGUAUAAACAAUGAAGUCCUACUGUUCAGCCCUUGGAACUAUAUCCAUUUUCUUGGGAUAAAAUAUGAUGGAAGAUAGUAUGAGAAAAAGAGUGUGUGGGGGGGUCACUAUGCUGUAUAGCAGAAAUUGACACAACAUUGUGAAUCAACUAUACUUUAAUAAAAAAAAAUUAAAAAGAAAAGAAACCUUCCUCUCUGAAAAUUUCCUAAUGGUAAUUGAUUAUCUGUAUUUGAAUGUAAUUUCCAUAAAUUAAUGUUUACCAUUAGAAACAUGGGGAGUUUAGAAACAGAUACAGUAGUGUCAACAAAUCAACCAAAGGAAUGGGAUGGUUCACAAUCUUCAUUACGAUUAAAAUCUAACCAUCAUAGUAACUGUCUUUUGGGAGGAUGUUUUUCAACACAAUAGCUACGUUUUAUUUUGAAAUUGUUUAAGAGAAUUACGUAUUUUGUAAAGUAAAAGUUAAUGUGUCUUUACAUAUGAUCAAGUGAGUUAUUACAAUUUUCUUCAAAUUUCCAUCAGUUUUUUUUUUUAAUAAAUGCCAUGAAAUGAUAAUUUAAGUCAGUCACUGUACCUUUGUGGUCCAUGACAUAAUGAUUACAAAUGCUCUAACAAGUCCAAUUUAAUGGCUAUUGUGCUUGUGGUUUUAGAGUGUGAAGUUCCAUUUCCUCACAUUUGGAUUUUAAUCAAAUCACUACUUGAAGUCAGGCUACUGAACACCUACCAAUUUUAGCAAUUCCAAUUACUCCCAUUUUGUGACGGAUUAAAACUUAAAGCAUUUUGAAGGACAUCACUCAACCAGUUAAUUUUAUAUAGGAGGGUGAGAGGUUGCAAAUCUGGAUGAUAUCAAAACAGAAGCUACCAUAUAGCAAUUGGUCCCCACAUAGCUUCACACGUCCAUGACACACAUGUGAUCUCUCUUUAAACAACAGCAGCAGCAGUUCAUCAUUUGCUCAAGCCCUAGAUAAAGACUGAGGGGUUUUUUUGUUCGUUUGGGCGGUUUAUUUGUUGUUGUUGUUUUCUUUUUAGAGCCAUAGGUGUGGCAUAUGGAAGUUCACAGGCUAGGGGUCGAAUCAAAGCUGCAGUUGCUGGCCUACACCACAGCCACAGCAAUGCCAGAUCUGAUGCAUGUCUGCCACCCACACCACAGCUGUGGGCAAUACCAGAUCAGUUAACCCACUGAGCAAGGCCAGAGACUGAACCCACAUACUCAUGGAUACUAGUCAGGUUCACUUCCACUGAACCACAAUGGGCACUCCAAGACCAAGAUUUUAUGCAUGAGCUGAAAGGGUUGUGACCCCUAUUCUAGCCUCCUGCCCUGCCCCCUCCCUCAGUUAUUUAUAUUGUGUGCCAGCAAUACCAAGCUGAUUUGAAUUCCCAAAUAUGUCAUGCUACUUUAUCCCCAAGCAUUGGUACAUACUCCUCUCUUUUAAUGGAGCUAUGCUCCUGGCUCCUGCAACUUUCCAUCUCUUGUAUUUUUUCCUUCAACCCUCAUUCAAAAUAUCACCUCAUCUAGGAAGUCUUAUCAGAUGGUGAAAGCCCAUAUAGAUGCCUAUGUUGGGGUUUUCAAAGGGUAAUCACUGGUUCUCUGCAUCUCUCCUGUGGGGUGACAAGCUCUUUAAAGAGAAAGACCUAUGUUAUUAAUCUUCAAAACCCCAGCACCUAUCAUAAUACUUUGACACAUAGCUGGAAUCACUAAUCCAAGCCAGUCAAAUAAACAGAUGAGUCAACAAAAGCAAAAAGAGAGACAAGGAGAAAGGCAGGACAAAAUGAGAUGCAACAACUGUUCUGUAAAUAUAAAACCACUCUACAUUGGCAGGCCCAUGCAGCCCUUCACAUUUUUUUCCAAACUCACUCACUUAUCUUUCUCAUGUAGUACACAAUGGUUGAUAGGAGAAAGCUGCCACUCAAAAAGAUUCUAGAGUUCCCUAAAUGCAAACAGGUAGUUAAUUACAAGGUUAGAACUAAGCCUUAUGACACAGUCACAUCUCCUUUCCCGUAUAGCGUGCCAUAUGCUUCAGAAAAGACACAUAGCUAGGGAAGAGAAUGUGACAGCAAAGUGUCUCCCCAAAACAAUUCUUUGUACCCUACACCUUUCAUUUAAUAAAAAGAGAGAGAAAAUGUCUCUUUCUAGUUUGAGUACACUUAACCUCAGAAUAAACCUAGACAGCCUUUCUGAAUUACUUAGGAGGCCAAUGUUCAGGGAAGAGGAGAUGGAGAUAUCCAACCCUUGGUUGGGGCAGCCAAGGUUCCACGUAACCAUUGCAAAUAGAGUAGUAUUAGACUUGUGGGAUUCCUGGUGGAGUUUGUAGGGUGCCAAAAACUGGUCAUCAGCAUAGAUUUAACUUUAUCAGCGAAGACUGAGUUCGGGCAUGGAACAAAUAUCAUGGCCAGAUCGCCCGGCUGCUGUCACAGAGAGGUCCUGUCAACUCUCAGGCUGUUGUUGAAAAGAUGUGGUUUGAAGUCUUUCCAAGGCAUUGGCAGUUUCUAACAAGCCAGGUCCACAGAGGGAUGGACGAAAAGGUCUGUGAGGUCAUCCGGGGCAGGGAGCCUCAAGGGUUUUCAGUUAUUCUUUAAGCCUAAUAUUGAACCCCCCAGCUCCCUUAAACAUCCACAAAAACCCAAUUCCUUGGUGAGCACCUUUCCUCUCCGCAGGAAAUACCUGGAAACUCAAAGUCUCUUCUCAUUUUGGAAGAAUGGGUUCCUUUUGAUGUUUAUUUUUUUAAAAAAAUUGUUUUCCACUUUUGGAGGAAAGACUCAAGUGGGUUAUGGACCACCUGAUGCUGACAAAACUCCAUCAACUCAAACCCUCCUCUGUGAUGUGCACACACUCCCCAAACUGUCCUAGGAUGUUCAAAUCUUCAACAAAAUCUAUGCUUGUUCCCUAAUAACCACAAGACACUUUUGCUUUAGGAUGCUCCCUGAGAUUCUGCUUUCAAAGAGCAGCUGUUAUGACAUUGGCCAUCCUGUUUCAGCUCCCUGGGCCCCCAAAAAUUUCAUCCUUCAACCCACAUAUUUUUUUUUAGCACUAUACUCUUGGGACUUUGGUGUACAUAAGCCCAAGGUAUUUACUUGAAAUCAUUCAGAAAAGCAGUAGAGGGAGCAGGUAAAUACAGGCAACUGUGAGAAACAGAACUCUCAGGAGCACUUGAACAAAUCCUGGAAGACCUCUUAUC